GUACCCUUUAAUUUGGUCCAGAGAGGCCAAAAAGGAGUGAAAGAUAUGAGUUAUACAUUUGGUUUAUGUGUAUUAAAAAAUAUGAAUAUUAAUAAAGCUCCUACCUUUUUCAUGGUAGGAGCUUUUUGCUU
rfam:Thermosipho melanesiensis BI429, complete genome.